rnacentral:rRNA from 1 species
GUCAAUGGCCUAACGGCUGAACUGGCAACUUGGAGAAGUGGCAAGUCUUCCAGUAUGGGGAGCAAAACAGCUAUGGGUCAAGUCCGAUAUCUUUAGGAGGCGCGAAGCUCCUCUUAUUGUGAGGGCGAGUUUUAUAACACCAUAGGACUGGCCGUCCCAUAUGAAAAGAUUAUAUUAGAAUUGAAUGAAGCUUUGUUUAUAUAUUGAUAAUGACAGUAUAUAUAUCGUGUCUUGACUAAUUGCGUGCCAGCAGUCGCGGUAAUACGUAAGAGACUAGUGUUAUUCAUCUUAAUUAGGUUUAAAGGGUACCCAGACGGUCAAUAUAGCUUAUAAAAUGUUAGUACUUGACUAGAGUUUUAUGUAAGAGGGCAGUACUUGAGGAGGAGAGAUGAAAUUUCGUGAUACCAAAGGGACUCGGUAAAGGCGAAGGCAGCCCUCUAGGUAAAAACUGACGUUGAAGGACGAAGGCACAGAGAACAAACAGGAUUAGAUACCCAAGUAGUCUUUGCAGUAAAUGAUGAAUGCCAUAGGUUAGAUCUGAGUUGGUAGUCUAGUUGAGUUAGUUUACUAAACUAAUGAUCUAUACAAGCCAGCCUUAGAUUUGGUCUAUAAAUGAAAGUGUAAGCAUUUCACCUCAAGAGUAAUGUGGCAACGCAGGAACUGAAAUCACUAGACCGUUUCUGACACCAGUAGUGAAGUAUGUUAUU